AGAUUAUCAUCAUCAUAUGUUUGUUUACCAUGUUGAAAAGUGUAAAGAGAAAUUCUGAAACUACUUGGUAGAGAGAGAAAGAAAGAGAGAGAAAAUAGACUUACCUUAACAGCUUUGUCGUGGUCUCUCAUACUCACACUGGUGUUACGGUGCCAACAUACAUGCAUAGUAGUGUUGCCUCGAUGUUGUAUUUGCUUUUCUGGGCUAGGAGGAGACGUACCGAGUUUGUCGAUAUCCGAGGAGCCGGUUGUGGAAACAUUCUCAUUGGAGCCUGAAAUAUAAUCAUGAUGAAAUGUUACCACGCACACAGUUAAUGGAUCAACUCUUGGUUCCAACAAUGACACAGUUUGGUUGUAACAGUUUGGUAACGAAAGGUCUAACAAAUAAGACUAUCUACUCAUGGUAUCUUAAUUUCACUGGUUGCAGUGAGUGACACCUUCAAGGAGGUUGAAUUCAUCAUAUCAAUCCCAGUACAUAUAUUAGUCUGGCAUCUAUAUUACCAAUAUCUAUGUGUUGGACUGCUAAGUCUCAAGACAAAGUGACACAACAUAAAGAUAUGUGUGCAUGUGUACACACACAUGCAUGUAUAUAAUACAUAAUUAUAUGUAUAUAAUACAUAUAAUACAUAAUUUUAAAGUAGACACAGCUAUCCAAUCCAACCAGCAUGAAGCCCCCUUUCUUAUUGGUUGUACCAUGCAAACUCUCUUAUAAAGUAAUCUCAAAACUUCCCAUUAAAAUUUCAUGUUAAUUUAUGUUUCAAACACUAUCAUAAAUUUUGGGUAUUUGAGUAUAUUUAAGAAUUUAAGGAAUGGAGAAAAUG